UUGAACCUUCUUUGUUAUUACCUAAAAACUCCUAUUUAUAACAGCGUACUUAAAAUGAGAUUUUUAUACUUUUUCUGAGAAGCCUGGUAUGUCAUUUACGAACUGACUGUUGUCUGAUGUUUGGCGGCGUCAAUGGAAAGAGACGGCGCCGUUGUUUAUUUCGUGGCACUUAUCGUCGAUAUGUAAUUGAUAUUAGUUAACAAAUUUCAUGAACACGAGUACUUGAACGUCGAGGAAAACGCUUUCGCUAAAAGUAGUAAAUAUACCUUGGAAACAUCACAGUUGAAACAUGCGACAGUAAUUAUUACAAUACUCACUAGACGACGCUGUAAGUCUGCUCAGGCAAUUUUGGCACGCAGCCAAAAGUGCUUCUAUCAUUGGUCGUGAGUGCAGAGUGCAAGUGAGUUUUCCAAUGUGGAGGAAAGCUGCUCAGAUUUCUGUUUCUAAGUUCAAAGGAAAAUUGGACAGUAUUUGGCUGUUAACCAAACACGAGAAGCGUCCUGCCAAAGCCAAAUGGUGAUAUAUGAAGUGACAGAGAAGAUGUGAAGACACUCUACAGUUUUGGAGCGCGCGCUCAUGGGUUGAUGGAAGAACAUGACCUUGGUCCGCUUACUGUGCAUAAGCUCUGUAGAAUUAAAUGCCGUUGCUGUGUGCGAGGAAAAGCCUGAAUUAAAAGAUCCUAGGAUAAGUAUGAGAAAAUCAGUGCUAUUUUAAUUUUUGUGAACCUGACUGUCGGUGGUGAAUUAAGCAGAAAUAUUGCAAUAUUAACCGUUUUGAAAAACCCCAUGAACAGUCGGCUGUUUUCUGUGUGGGCAGGUCAGGAAGAAGGGUUAUUAAUUAUGACUGUUUGGACACACUCAAAUCAUCGUCAUGAACGUGUGUAACGUUCUGCACAGCAAUGACACGGAACAGUGUUCCGAACUUCUCUCAACUGUUCUCGACGAGGUGGUAAUGUAAAGGAAGUAGUGACGUCACCAAGAUGCAGCAUGUACUUGAAAUAUUUUGCCAAAGUGAAGAUUAUGUCUACAACAACAUUGAUCUUAUAAUAAUUAUUAUAGUCACUUGCGAAACAAGGGUUAUCCCUUGAAAUAAAUCUUUGACUUUUUUCAUCAUCACUUUGUUCAGCGUCAUCAUCAAAUUCGUCUUCGAACAAAAAAGACCUGAAGGUAAUGCAUUUUCCGCCAUAUUGAAAAUGCUAACUUCCUGUUCUGGUUAACUUGAUUAUUCUUCUGGAAAAGAAUGACCACAUCGUUUUCUGGGCAGGUGAUUCGAGAGAAUCCAGGUCAACUAGACACUUAAUAAAAUGACGAAGUAGGACAUUUAGACACCGCUUGUUUGUUAUAAAAUAAAACAAUAAUUCUUUCCAUUAUAUGACCUGUAUAUA